AUGGGACAAGGGAGCAUGGAAGGAUUUUAUGAACGAAAAAAACAGAAAAGAAUAAGAGACCACAGACCGAGCUCUGAGAAGUCUGUUUAUUUGGUUUGUGUUUUAUAUUGCCAGGCUUGCAAACCGACUCUGGCACAGAUUCUAGGAUUUGGAGAACGAGCUUGGAAGAGAGGAGAGAGAGGAGAUUUUGAAGCCUGUAGGGAAAAAAAAAAGAAAAGAAAAAAAAAAAAAAAACAGAAACUUGCAAACCUUCUCUGUCCCACGCUGGGAAGGAGAGAAGAAUGACUAACAAUGACCACAGGAGUCACAGGUGUGACUGUAUAGCGACAGAAAAGAAGGAACGGAACAGCUUGCCCAGUGAGCAGACAGCAGCCUGGGAGAAGGGAGCGAGCCCAGGACAGAGGCUGCAUUGGGGCAACCAGAGAGAGAGAAGCAAAAACCGGGUGAGUCCAAGGAGCGACUGGCCAGCUGGCUCUAACGUGAUGUAGGGGUUGUAGCGAGGAUGAUGUCACUGUCAUGGAGAAACCAGCUGGGGUAAAAUGGGUCAGCUCUGCCUGUGAGGUGCAGACACGGAAACGGGGACCUCAGGUGUCCCCUGGGAGAAGCUGGGGAGGCAGGCAGUCGCAGGGGCAGGAUGUGUGUGACCAGAGGAUUGUUGGCUUGUUAUUUCAACUGGGAGACUUGAGAAUGUUUAAAUAUCAACAGGAAGAGUCCAGCUUAGAGGAAGUGGUUAAAUGUAUAAGAAAAUGGAGUUGCUGGUAGCAUAUGUUUCCUGGAAGUUGAAAGUUGGUGGCGAACGGGGCCCUCAGGUGAACUUGGAGGGGUGGUGACCGAGAGCCCAGGUGAUGUGGGUGAGAACCAAGUCAACGCAGAGGAAGCCAGAAGCCACGGGGAGCCAGCAGAGCCCCAGUGUCGAGAGACAGAGUGGCUGGGCCCUGGGGCUGCUUCCGCUCCGACUUCCAGCUCCAGUUCUGCCUCUUCCGCAUCCUGACAACAGCCCUUCCUUUCCUGAAUACAUUUCUGUUCACUCCACGGGUAUCUGUGGAGCACCUGCCCCGUGCCAGGCCCAGUCCUGACAGCUGUGGCCAGCGCAGUCAAUCAGGCAGAGGCCACGCCCCGGCCUCAGAGCCUCUCCCUGCCUCCUAGGGAGCUGGGUGGCCCGGCCUCUUUGGCGAGGCAGGCGGGUGUGCUUCUCCUGGACCGAGUUACCUGAGGAACAGCAAACAGAGGCCACGGAGGUGGGGGUCGCAGGCAAGCGCGGGCUUCCCAUCGUGGAGGGGGCUGU
rnacentral:lncRNA from 1 species